UACGUAGGGGGCUAGCGUUGUCCGGAAUCAUUGGGCGUAAAGCGCGUGUAGGCGGUCCGGUAAGUCCGCUGUGAAAGUCGGGGGCUCAACCCUCGGAUGCCGGUGGAUACUGUCGGGCUUGAGUACGGAAGAGGCGAGUGGAAUUCCUGGUGUAGCGGUGAAAUGCGCAGAUAUCAGGAGGAACACCAAGUGCGAAGGCAGCGCGCUGGGACGUUACUGACGCUGAGGAGAGAUAGCGUGGGGAGCGAACAGG
rnacentral:rRNA from 1 species